UACAGAGGAGCCAAGCGUUGUCCGGAUUGACUGGGCGUAAAGCGUGCGCAGGCGGCGCGUUAAGACAGGUGUGAAAGCCCCGAGCUUAACUUGGGAAUUGCGCUUGUGACUGGCGUGCUGGAGUGUGGCAGAGGGAGGUGGAAUUCCACGUGUAGCAGUGAAAUGCGUAGAGAUGUGGAGGAACACCGAUGGCGAAGGCAGCCUCCUGGGCCAGCACUGACGCUCAUGCACGAAAGCGUGGGGAGCAAACAGG
rnacentral:rRNA from 1 species